GACGAGGUGGACAAACGUUAUUCGGAUUUACUGGGCUUAAAGCGUGCGUAGGCGGCUCAGAAAGUUGGGUGUGAAAGCCCUCGGCUCAACCGAGGAAUUGCGCUCAAAACUACUGAGCUUGAGUGAGAUAGGGGUGAGCGGAACUGAUGGUGGAGCGGUGAAAUGCGCAGAUAUCAGGAGGAACACCGGUGGCGAAGGCGGUUCUCUGGGCCUGUACUGACGCUGAGGAACGAAAGCGUGGGGAGCGAACAGG
rnacentral:rRNA from 1 species